UAUAAGUAUAAACGAUUUAAUUAUGUAACCGCGAAGGGGAUCAUUAUAACAGCAAUAAUUUACUUGAUCUUGACACAAUCCUACUUGGAUAACUGUGGUAAUUCUAGAGCUAAUACAUGCAUUAAAGCUCUGACCUCACGGGAAGAGUGCAUUUAUUAGAACAAAACCAAGCGGCUUCGGCUGUUUCUGGUUGACUCAUAGUAACUGAGCUGAUCGCAUGGUCUUGCACCGGCGACGUGUCUUUCAAGUAUCUGCCGUAUCAACUUUCGAUGGUAGUGUAUCUGACUACCAUGGUGAUCACGCGUAACGGAGAAUAAGGGUUCGGCUCCGGAGAGUUCGCCUGAGAAAUCGCGAACACAUCUAAGGAAGGCAGCAGGCGCGAAAAUUACCCACUCUCAGCACGAGGAGGUAGUGACGAAAAAUAACGAGACCGUUCUCUUAUGAGGCCGGUCAUCGGAAUGGGUACAAUUUAAACCCUUUAACGAGUAUCUGUGAGAGGGCAAGUCUGGUGCCAG
rnacentral:rRNA from 1 species